GACGAACGCUGGCGGCGUGCUUAACACAUGCAAGUCGAGCGGUAAGGCCCUUUCGGGGGUACACGAGCGGCGAACGGGUGAGUAACACGUGGGUGACCUGCCUUUAGCUCUGGGAUAAGCCUGGGAAACUGAGUCUAAUACCGGAUAUGACUCCAUGAUGCAUGUUGUGGGGUGGAAAGCCUUGUGCGGCUGGAGAUGGGCCCGCGGCCCAUCAGCUUGUUGGUGGGGNGAUGGCCUACCAAGGCGACGACGGGUAGCCGGCCUGAGAGGGCGACCGGCCACACUGGGACUGAGACACGGCCCAGACUCCUACGGGAGGCAGCAGUGGGGAAUCUUGCGCAAUGGGCGAAAGCCUGACGCAGCGACGCCGCGUGAGGGAUGACGGCCU
rnacentral:rRNA from 1 species